rnacentral:misc_RNA from 1 species
UCUUCUCCUCUUCCCUCCCCUCGCCGGCUUCUCCCCUCCCCUCUCCGGCGUGAGAUCGGCGGCGGGGAGCAGCGGUGGCGGCGUAUCUGGCGGUGGGGAGCUCGCCGGCUGCUCCCCUCCCCUCUCCGGCGCGAGCUCGGCGGCGGGGAGCAGCGGUGGCGGCGUAUCUGGCGGUGGGGAGCUCGCCGGCUGCUCCCCUCCCCUCUCCGGCGCGAGCUCGGCGGUGGGGAGCAGCGGUGGCGGCGGAUCUAGCGGCGGAGGGGAAGC